rnacentral:rRNA from 1 species
UGGCUUAAUUUGACUCAACGCGGGAAAUCUUACCGGGUCCGGACACACUGAGGAUUGACAGACAAAUAUAGAAAUUUUAUAUUUCUCAUAUAUAAAGAUGCUCUUUCUUGAUUGAUUAAGUGGUGGGUGGUGCACGGCCGUUCUUAGUGCAGGGAGCGAUCUGCCUGCUUAAUUGCCUUUCAUUUUUAAUUAUGUAUACGAACGACCCACGUUCACGCGAGCCAAUCAAGUAUGCUAUCAUUUGAAACCAACGAACGUGACCCUAUCCUUUUAUUAUAUACGCACGCGUAUAUUUAUUCAUUAAAGGGACCGUUGUUUUUUUUUUUAAAACAAAGGAAGGUUACAGAAAUAACCGGUGAUGCAUGC